GGGUUGUGAGGUUAAGCGACUAAGCGUACACGGUGGAUGCCCUGGCAGUCAGAGGCGAUGAAGGGCGUGCUAAUCUGCGAUAAGCGCCGGUAAGGUGAUAUGAACCGUUAUAACCGGCGAUACCCGAAUGGGGAAACCCAGUGUGACUCGUCACACUAUCAUUAACUGAAUCCAUAGGUUAAUGAGGCGAACCGGGGGAACUGAAACAUCUAAGUACCCCGAGGAAAAGAAAUCAACCGAGAUUCCCCCAGUAGCGGCGAGCGAACGGGGAGGAGCCCAGAGCCUGAAUCAGCAUGUGUGUUAGUGGAAGCGUCUGGAAAGGCGCGCGAUACAGGGUGACAGCCCCGUACACAAAAGCGCAUGUGCUGUGAGCUCGAUGAGUAGGGCGGGACACGUGGUAUCCUGUCUGAAUAUGGGGGGACCAUCCUCCAAGGCUAAAUACUCCUGACUGACCGAUAGUGAACCAGUACCGUGAGGGAAAGGCGAAAAGAACCCCGGCGAGGGGAGUGAAAAAGAACCUGAAACCGUGUACGUACAAGCAGUGGGAGCACCCUUCGGGGUGUGACUGCGUACCUUUUGUAUAAUGGGUCAGCGACUUAUAUUCUGUAGCAAGGUUAACCGUAUAGGGGAGCCGGAGGGAAACCGAGUCUUAACCGGGCGUUAAGUUGCAGGGUAUAGACCCGAAACCCGGUGAUCUAGCCAUGGGCAGGUUGAAGGUUGGGUAACACUAACUGGAGGACCGAACCGACUAAUGUUGAAAAAUUAGCGGAUGACCUGUGGCUGGGGGUGAAAGGCCAAUCAAACCGGGAGAUAGCUGGUUCUCCCCGAAAGCUAUUUAGGUAGCGCCUCGUGAAUUCAUCUCCGGGGGUAGAGCACUGUUUCGGCUAGGGGGCCAUCCCGGCUUACCAACCCGAUGCAAACUGCGAAUACCGGAGAAUGUUAUCACGGGAGACACACGGCGGGUGCUAACGUCCGUCGUGAAGAGGGAAACAACCCAGACCGCCAGCUAAGGUCCCAAAGUCAUGGUUAAGUGGGAAACGAUGUGGGAAGGCCCAGACAGCCAGGAUGUUGGCUUAGAAGCAGCCAUCAUUUAAAGAAAGCGUAAUAGCUCACUGGUCGAGUCGGCCUGCGCGGAAGAUGUAACGGGGCUAAACCAUGCACCGAAGCUGCGGCAGCGAACGUAUCACCCAAGACAACUUUACGGAGUUGACGAUUGACGGAGCGAAGCGACGUCAAAGCGUUCAUUAAAGUCGAGUUGGCUUAGGGAUACGUUCGUUGGGUAGGGGAGCGUUCUGUAAGCCUGUGAAGGUGUGUCGUGAGGCAUGCUGGAGGUAUCAGAAGUGCGAAUGCUGACAUAAGUAACGAUAAAGCGGGUGAAAAGCCCGCUCGCCGGAAGACCAAGGGUUCCUGUCCAACGUUAAUCGGGGCAGGGUGAGUCGACCCCUAAGGCGAGGCCGAAAGGCGUAGUCGAUGGGAAACGGGUUAAUAUUCCCGUACUUGGUGUUACUGCGAAGGGGGGACGGAGAAGGCUAUGUUGGCCGGGCGACGGUUGUCCCGGUUUAAGCGUGUAGGUGUGUGUUCCAGGUAAAUCCGGUUCACUUUAACACUGAGGCGUGACGACGAGGCACUACGGUGCUGAAGCAACAAAUGCCCUGCUUCCAGGAAAAGCCUCUAAGCAUCAGGU
rnacentral:rRNA from 1 species